AGUAAUAACAGCAGUAAAAGUAGUAGUAAUAGUAGUAGCAGUAGUAUUAGUAGUAGUAGUACUAGUACCUACGAAUACUCAUGUACUUGAAGGCUUUUAGCAUCAACAAUAAAUCAAAACUUGAGUUUCUCAACUAGUCUCUCUUAUUUCUUCCUCUCAUAUUUCAACAAAUUAUUACAUUGAGCUUGCCUAUCUCUUCAUUUU
rnacentral:lncRNA from 1 species